rnacentral:rRNA from 1 species
GCGGUAAUACAGAGGCCUCAAGCGUUAUCCGGAUUCACUGGGCGUAAAGGGUGCGUAGGCGGUUAUAUUAGUCGGGCGUAAAAUCCUAGGGCUCAACCUUAGGCCCGCGUUCGAAACGGUAUAACUAGGAGUAGUGAGAGGUGAACAGAACUCACGGUGUAGGGGUGAAAUCCGUUGAUAUCGUGGGGAAUACCAAAUGCGAAGGCAGUUCACUGGCGCUUACUCGACGCUGAGGCACGAAAGCGUGGGUAGCGAACGGGAUUAGAUACCCCGGUAGUCCACGCCCUAAACGCUGUCCGCUGGCUUUAGGGAGAAUCGACCCUCCCUGAGGCGAAGGUAACCCGUUAAGCGGACCGCCUGGGUAGUACGAGCGCAAGCUUAAAACUCAAAGGAAUAGACGGGGGCUCGCACAAGCGGUGGAUCAUGAGGCUUAAUUCGUCGAUAAGCGAAAAACCUUACCCAGGCUAGAAACCAUACUGCACGCUCUCCGAAAGGAGAGAAUCCUUCGAGGGUGUAUGGCAGGUGAUGCAUGGCCGUCGUCAGUUCGUGGCUUGAGCUGUUCCCUUAAGUGGGGAAACGAACGCAACCCUCGUUGCCUGUUACAAGUGUCAGGCGAGACUGCUCCCUCACGGGAGAGGAAGGUGAGGAUGACGCCAGGUCAGCAUGUCCCUUGAUGCCUGGGGCUGCACUCGUGAUACAAUGGGAUGUACAAAGGGACGCAAUACAGUAAUGUGGAGCAAAUCCUGAUAAAACAUUCCUCAGUUCGGAUUGAGGGCUGCAACUCGCCCUCAUGAAGCCGGAAUCGCU